rnacentral:lncRNA from 1 species
CUUUAUAGGUGUCAGGCUGGGGGAUGGUCAGGUCUUUCCCUUCCCAUGAGACCAUAUUUCAGACUAUCACAUGGGGAGAAACCUUGGACAAUACCUGGCUUUCCUAGGCAGAGUUCCCUGUGGCCUUCCGCAGUGUUUUGUGUCCCUGGGUACUUGAGAGUAGGGAGUGGUGAUGACUCUUAACAAGAAUGCUGCCUUCAAGCAUUUGUUUAACAAAGCACAUCCUGCACAGCCGUUAAUCCAUUUAACCUUGACUUGACACAGCACAUGUCUCAGGGAGCACAGGGUUGGGGGUACGGUUACAGAUUAACAGCCUCUCAAGGCAGAAGAAUUUUUCUUAGUACAGAACAAAAUGGAGUCUCUUAUGUCUACUUCUUUCUACAUAGACACAGUAACAGUCUGAUCUUUUUCUUUUCCCCCCACACAUGCAUACACACCCCACAGACACCGCACACACUGCACACACACCCCAGACACCACACCCACUGCACACACCACACCAUAUGCACACACACAACCCAGACACCAUACACACUGCACAUACCUCAUGAGCACAUGCACACACAUCACACAGACACCACACACUGCACACACACCAUGUGCACAAACACCACACACACUGCACACACACCAUGUGCACGUAUACACACCCCACACUGCACACACACACGUGCACACGCACACACCCCAGAGACUACACACCGCACACACCACUCCAUGUGCACACACACCCCACACACAGACACCACACACUGCACACAGCCCACCACACUGCACAUGCCACACCGUGUACAUGCACACACCACACACACACCACACACAGUGUACACAAGCACACAUGCCCCACACAUACACCACACAGACACCACACACACUGCACACAGCACAACAUGCAUACACGCACACACACCCCCACACACCACACACACUGCACACACACCAUGUGCACA